rnacentral:rRNA from 1 species
AAAAGAAGAUCAAGAAGAGCUUCAGAAUGAAGCUUUGUUGAUGGAGGGGAGCGGCAGACGGGUGAGGAACACGUGGGAACGUACCCUUUGCUACGGAAUAGCUCCGGGAAACUGGAACGAAUACCGGAUGUGCCCUACGGGGGAAAGAGUUAUCGGCAAGGGAUCGGCCCGCGUUGGAUUAGCUAGUUGGUGGGGUAAUGGCCGAACAAGGCGACGAUUCAUAGCUGGUCUGAGAGGAUGAUCAGCCACAUUGGUACUGCGACACGGCCGAAACUGCUACGGGCGGCAGCAGUGGGGAAUAUUGGACCAUCGGCGCAAGCUUGAUCCAGCCAUGCCGCGUGAGUGAUGAAGGCCUUAGGGUUGUAAAGCUCUUUCACCGGAGAAGAUAAUGACUGUAUCCGGAGAAGCAGCCCCGGCUAACUUCGUGCCAGCCGCCGCCGUAAGAC